AGUUUCUUUGCAAAAACGCUGUAAAACAGUGCUGAGAACGAAAUCUCUCACUUUCGGAAUCCAUCCGCCAAUUGGAAAAGAACUUUUGAGUUUAGAUAUAGAGAGAAUAUAGACUUGUCGAUAUAGAGAGAGAAAGUGAAGAGAGAGAAACACGUGAAUGAAUAUAGUCCGUAUAUGCAAUGAAGGAUACAGGGAAGAACACGAUUCUCUUCACCUUCCCACCACUUAACGUCGUCGUUCUCCAUUCUCACUACUAUCUCUUCCAAUUCUACUGAUUCGUCUUCUUCUUGCUCUCUCGCGUUCUCAAUCGAUUCUCUCCAAUUCUCUGCAAUUUUCUCUCUAUCUGUUUCUGAUGUCAAGCGAAGCGGCGUCCUCUGGACUGAGCUUGGAAGGUCUGGACGAUGUGGAAGAGUUCGUUUGGGCCAAUGAAGGAGAGUUAUCGAUUUCAUGGGAACGAUUUACUCAGGUUUUUGAUCUCAUGCAGGCAGGGAAUAAGGCAUUCAGGGACAAUCGUUUCGAAGAGGCAAUCAAUUGUUACUCGAGAGCUCAUAACAUUAAACCGGGCGAUCCUGUUAUUUUAAGCAACCGAUGCGCUGCUUAUAUUAGGAUUUGUCAGUAUCUAAAACACAGACCAGCAUCAGCUUCUGAAUAUAGAGCACUGAAUGGGCUGGAUCCUACAACACAUGCUGCGCUUGCACUGAAGGAUGCGGAAAAAGUGGUGAACUUCCGAAGUAAUUCUGUAAAGUCUUACAUUCUGAAGGCCAAUUCACUCACUAUGCUAGAAAGAUAUGAGCUGGCCCGGGAUACUAUUCUUUCUGGCCUUCAGGUUGAUCCUCUUAGCAAUCUUCUUCAGGCUUCUCUACAGAAUUUGGAGAGAAUAAUGGCCGGUAUAAACAGGGGAAGCCGCCAUGGGAAAGCAGAACGUACUGAUGACUUCGAUUGUACUCUUUGCUUGAAGUUACUCUAUGACCCAAUUACAACUCCUUGUGGACAUUCAUUUUGCCGAUCAUGCUUGUUUCAGGCAAUGGACCGAGGUAAUAGAUGUCCACUGUGCCGGACAGUUCUGUUCAUAAGUCCUAGAACAUGUUCAAUCAGUGUAACGCUGAACAACAUAAUACAGAAGAAUUUUCCAGAGGAGUAUGCUGAAAGGAAGUUGGAGCAUGCCAGUUUGAUGAACCUUGGUGUUGAUUUGAUGCCCCUCUUUGUCAUGGAUGUUGUCCUCCCAUGUCAGAGGCUUCAACUCAACAUAUUUGAACCUCGGUACAGACUUAUGGUGAGGAGGAUAAUGGAAGGAAAUCACCGAAUGGGAAUGGUUGUGAUUGAUUCUACGACAGGUUCCAUAGCUGAUGUUGCUUGUGAAGUGGAGAUUACUGAGUGUGAGCCAUUUCCGGAUGGACGUUUUUUUCUAGAGGUUGAAGGUCGUAGGAGAUUCCGUAUCCUCAGAACUUGGGAUCAAGAUGGGUAUCGUGUUGCUGAAGUUGAUUGGGUACGUGAUAUAUAUCCUUCAGAAGGGUCAAAAGAGCGAGAAGAUUUGCAGGAAAUGACAAACAAUGUUGCACAACAUGCUCGGUCAUGGAUGAGGAAUGCACAAGAAGCAGUACAGCAAGAUAGAAGACGACUUCUGGAACUCUAUAAUGCAGAAGUAAUGAUGCCCAAUACACAGGAUCCUGAGCGCUUCAGUUUUUGGCUGGCUACUCUAACUAAUCGAGAGCCAACAGAGAGAUUGAAUCUUCUUCGCAUAAGAGACACAAAAGAGAGGCCAAAAUUUGGUUAUGUUACCUACAACCAUUAGGUUGAUUGUGGAGUAUGGACCUCCAAUGUCGCAGUAAUGAAAUGUUGGGGGGAGGGGAGCUGGGAGAUAAUUGUGCUGCACUGGUAGCCCAGGAUAAGACGGGGGCUCCUUUGUAUGAGAGCAGAAGAACAAGGCUGCAGACUGCAAUGAGAACAAGAUGUAACAGUUCCACCAACAUUCUAUUCUUCUAAUUACUUCAAUUGGAUGAAAAGAAGAAUGAAGAUGCCCGGAAACAUGGUGGAACCAACACUAUCGCGUGCUCCUCAGAUCUCAACCUUUGAAGUUUUAACUGAAUUCCUGAGGGAGACGAUGGUUCUGUACCUUUUCAACUUUGUUAUAGAUUGUUUCUUCUUGUUGAGUUCAACUGAUGUAUUUUAGAGGUGUAUAUAUUAUAUUCAUUUCACAUGCUUAUCGUCCAUGAUUUUUUACUUGCUACUGUAGAAGCUCUCCUUAGCCUUUGCCCUAGGAAUUGAGUUUGUUGUGUGGCAAAUUGUUGUGAUGUUACUGUAGUUUUCUCACAAGAGAAUUGGAUGUGUCACCUCAUAGUGGGAACGGAUUUUAAUCGUUUAA